UCACUCGUCUAUCCCGGGGGAGAUAUAAGUAUUUGUACCGCGUAGUACGGAGGUUCGAAUCCCACGCGAGGCGU
rnacentral:tRNA from 1 species